rnacentral:lncRNA from 1 species
UGCUCGGUGUUCUGAGAAUUUGCAAUGUGAAACAUUGCCCUUUAUAAUACAACAGCAGUGGGCAUCCUCUGGAUUAGGAAGUGUAAAACAGGAGACUUCAAAGCCACGCCUUGCACUGUGCACCGUGGUCAGGCUCGCAGAACUGUGGGGGGCUGUGUGCGCUGGCUUUAACUUUCACAGUCCCCCACCAGAACCUAGUCACAGUCCCUGAUACCAGUAUGGGUUUCCUUGCCACACACCUGACUGCUGUGGUAAUGGUGCACCUGACCUCCAGGUUGUGGAGAGGGCAGAUUGAACUUUUGGAUCCGGGAGAAGUUGCCAAACCUGGCCAGAUAUGGGAUCUGGGGCCCUUAGUGGAGCUGUUGCUUGUCCAUCGUGGGUCCAGCUGUCUUCAGCCUCUUUUAGCGCCCAAAGCCCCAGAAGAGACACUCACUGAUGCGAUUCCACCACAACAAAUUGAGAGCCACGAGGGCCUGUUUCCAUUAUCCCCCUAGGCU